AAAGGUGUAUGCUCUGGAGCUCAAGACCAAACACUCAGAGGAUACCAUUGGCCAUCAUUUGGACUUCUCGAAAUGGUUCUCGUUUGUGAUCACGCCCCAUGGCGAGAUUCUCCACGUCUACCACCCUCCCGACGACGACGAUGAAGCUGUUGCCAUGAAGAAAGGAGCCGCCGCCAUGUUCGCGUCUCGUCUCCACCACGCCA